UAUAAUAUUAUUUCUAUAUGCGUUUCAAUAAUUUUAAAAUCUGAUUAUAAUAAUUGUUUGUUUAAUCGAAAAAGGAGAUUUUCGCGCGUAGAAAGUUAUACCGCAUGGAAAGACGGUUGUUUCGCUUCUUGACCAAGUGUUACGCGUGCUUACAUAGAAUAUGAAAUGUAAUUGCAACACUAGAAAUAUCCUGUUUCUGCUAAUGGUGUAUUCUAUAUAAUUGUUUCAUAUUUUUCGAUGAAAUUCACCGAUUAAUAAUUCGAUCGAUGAUGUCACAUUUAAUGGAACGCUAAUUACUAUAAUUAACGUAUUGACAUAACCUAAUUAAAACUCAUUGUUAAAAUUAUUGUUGACUUGAAUAUAUUUUUAUCGAACUCUCCCGUGAACAGUUGAACGAGUAUAAUAAAAUAACAUUUAACGAAAAUUUUAUAUAUAAUACUAUCAAAGUUUAUAUGAAUGUUAGAAUGUUACGUGGUCAUAUAAAAUUCUAUUUUCCCUCCUAUUAAAAACCAGUUUAUAAAUCGCUCGACACUGUUUACAUGGACGCCCUUGAGUGUUGCUUUUUCUUCAUGUUCUCUCUGGUGAGCAAGGUCUACAGUAAAACUAUAAUGUUUAAGAAGAAACGCUUACCAGCCUUAUUAACAUCCCAGAUGACAACUAUGGCACCGAGAUUGGCUAACCUAAGGGCGGUUAACCUUCCUAAACCACCACCACCUCCAGUCACUAGAGUGAUUUCUCCAGCGAUGCUCUUCAUUUUAUAUUUCAACGGGAUGAAUAAUUUAAUGAUACUUUCAAUGCUAAAGAUCACUGUCCAAAAAAGGAAAACUAUCACAGUCUUGACAAUUACAAAGAACGACAUAUUUGUUGCGUUUUUCUUGAUCAAAUUUUUAUAUUUGUUCCAACUUUAUUUGAACGUUUUAUCGCUACACUGCGACUCUUCUGUAAAAUUGAGGUCGAUCAGGAUGGCAUAGCUCGACCUAUGUAUCAAUUAAGGCUUAUGGACGGAUGAGGUUUGUCUGAAAAACAUAAUUAUAAUCAAUGUCACUUUAAAUGCGAUCGUGUAAAAGGAUAUUAAUUAAUUUUUUAUGAUUUUAUAUAUAUAUAUAUAUUGUAUUAAUUUUGUAUGUAUCUAUGUAAUUAUAAUAUUAAUUAAUUUAGAAAUUAAAGAUAAAUUUUAAAUUUAUCAGUAAUUUGUAUAUAACUAAUUUAAAUUUAAUAGUAACCAGUAUAAAACGAUAACAUCAGUAUAUAUAUAUAUAUAUAUAUAUAUAUAUAUAUAUAUAUAUAUAUAGAAACUAUUAUACACUUUCUCCAAAAUUUCGUAUUACUUUCCUCUUAUUCUCUCAAGAAAGAGGAUUCUCCGGAUAUGAGGAUAAUCACGUAAGAAUUAAAAAAUUUAACAAAAAGAAUUCAAAAUAUUCACUGUUUAAAAUUUUAAAAAUUGAUAGGUUUUAUCAUUCUACUUAUAACAAUUCUUUUAUCUUCAAUUAUAGAAAUAAAAAUAAGUUAAUCUAAGAUCAUGAAUUCAAUACUUUUUGAAAUAUUUAUAAUUGUAAUUUUGUUAUUAAAGUUAUAAUUGAAAUUUUAAAGUCGUAAUUAAUUUGAAGCGUUUAUAAAGAAAAUGAAAAAGAUAAAAUUUAUCAAUGUUCAAGGUCUGAAUGAAAUCAUUUGACUCGAAGAUCUUGCUCCCCUUGUAAGAUGUUAUCCGAAUCUCGUUGCUCGAAAAUAAACGAAAAUAACAGUCCUUCACUCCUCGAAUAAAAUUUCAAAAUAAAAAUUCUUUUUAUAUUCUUGUUAUAUUAUAUAUCUUGUACCACGAAAUUUACGAUCUUCCAGUAAUUUACGUUAGGGCAAAUAUCCAAUAUCGAUUCACUUUCUAAUGAAACGCGAAUUCACUUUCGAUUUUUAUCCACAUAUAUUCCAGUCACACGAAGCUCGUAAUUUUUCGAUUACUUAAACGAUUGUGAAUAAAACGAUUUUUAUGAAUAGAAUGAAAACGAAGAUUGAAUUAUAAUUACAGAAUGUUACAGAAGAAAGAUUGAUUUUUUUUUUUUUUUUUAUUAAAAAUACUAGUUUAACCCUACUUUAGAGAUUUCGUUCGAUGAAUAUUAUUGAAAUAUGCAUUGAAACGAACGUAUAUAUGUAUAUAUUCAAUCUUUCUUGUUAAAAAAUAUGAUGAAAGGACAAAAAAUAAAUCAUACAUAAUAAAAAAAACAAUAUCGUAAUAAAAUUUUUCCCUCGUGUCUCGAGAUAAUAGAUAAGACAAUGUUUCACGGAAAAACAAUUUCUUUUCAUUAGCAUAAUAUUCUGUUUUGUAUAAUUAUUAUUGUCAAACGAAUGAUUUCAAUUAACGGUGAAUUUCCGUGUCACGUUUCGUGUUCCAAAGAAUAUAAUCGAGCACCAACGAGCAACAGCCAGUUAUAUAUAGCAAUCAUGGCAAAAUGUCGCGUGACACAUAGCGCGAAGCUUUUUGUGUCAAUUUAAUUUACUUGAUUCUAAUAUCGAAUUCAUUCGAUUCUAAUAUUUAAGCUGAGCAAUGUUUCCAUAAAUAUAUGAAGCAAAAUUUAUUUUUUUUCUUUCAAUAAUAUAAUCAAAGAGAAAUAUUAAAUUAGAUCAGAGCUAGAUAAACAUAUAACUUGAUAUCACAUAAUUAAAUAAGACAGUUCUCAUUGAUCGAAAUCAUAUUAGUAGAGAUUAAUAAUAUUUCCUUAAAGAAUUGAUCGAAACUCGACUCGAGAAAUUAGAAGGCCACUUUCAAAACUGUUCGCUCGCGGCGAACUAUUGAGCAUCGUUACGAAUUCAAUUUGCGGUAGUUAUAAGUCUUCCUCGUUGCUCUGCUUUUAUAUAGGGAUCGUAUCAUAAAAUCCUUCGAUUCUUCAAUGAAAUAUAGAUAAGAACGAAAAGAUAUAAUUCUAGACUUGAAUAAAUAUUUUUCCAAAUAUAUUUUAAGAAAUAUAUAUAUAUAUAUAUAUAUAUAUAUGUAUAUAUUGUAUAUGAUGAAUUUAAAUAUAAGAUAAAAAGGGAUCUUACUACACAAUGUAAAUCCCUUCUGUACGUUUUCGUUGCAAACCACUCGCACUUUUCGAAAGAAAGCGAAGAAUAAAAAUAAAACGAGGAAAGAACCAAUGAGGUGCACGAAAAUACCUAUGCGAAACUUGUCUACGGAACGAAAGAUACUCGUCUUACCGGCACUACGGUCGUUGGUGAACUGAAUAAAACGGCGGCUCUGGUACGCCUUUACUCUCUCGACGAUCUCCGGCAACAAACUAUGCGCAUCAUACGAGAUAUACGAGCAACGAACAUUAAUAUAAACGUGAUAAUUGCACGUGUAUCAUCUAUUUAAUGCGUAUCAUCUUUCUUCUUUUUGAUUAUAGAAAUUAAAACUGAAAUCAAAAAGUAAUAAUAUAAUAUAAAAAUAUAAUGAAAAUAGUUUUUCAAAAAGGUCUCAAAUUAAUUUUGAUAGACUCGAUGUGAUUCAAUAUAUAAUGAAAAUAAGUUAUAUACUUAUGUAUUAUAUAAAUACUUGUAGUUUUAUUUUAAUAUUUCUAUUAUAUAAUUAAUUCCGUUGAAUUAUCUUUUUUAUCUUUCAAAUCAUUCUUUCAAAUCAUUUUAUUGUUAUGACGAUAACCAAUACAUCUUACGAAAAGAAAUAAUAUUUAUAAAUCACAUAAUAUAAUUUAUAAAGAUUUAAACAUUAAAUAAGAAAUAAAGAUAUUAAUAAUGAUACUAAUAUUUAUUUAUUGCGCUUUAUUAAUGUCGUUCGUGCAAUUUACAAACUGGAACACCGGCACAUCUACACAAAACGCCUGUUGAUCCAUCGGUGCAUUUCCUUCGACUAGGGCGUCGCAACAGCGAGAGUCGAACGAAGGAGAGAGUAGCCUCUCGAACGGAAUAUUGAUAGGCAAAUGAAAUUUUCGUGAAUUAUUCUUGAUUUACUUAAACGAUAUUUGUUAAUAUAUAUGUAAUAUUGAUGACAAUCAAAUUGAAUCCAGAAAUAGAUUUUUCAGUCAAAGAAAUGAAAUCUAGAGAAAUUAAUUAAAAAAAGAUUAAUGUGUAUUUUACUAAUUUUAGUUUAAAUGUUAAAAAAUUAUAACUGCCUAUUUAAGAUAUUAAUAAUAAAUUAAAUAAAAUAAAUUAAUUUAAUAA